rnacentral:lncRNA from 1 species
UUCCUUUUCAUUUCACUAAGUUAGAGAGAGGUAGAGAGAGAAGUGAGAGGUUAAGGAAGAACAAGGGUUAGAGAAAGGGAGAAACUUGAAUAUUGAAGCAAUUAGGAGCUAAAGUGAAGCCCAAGUUUGAAUUGAUCAUAACCUAAGACAUGUUACGUUGUGCAGGAUUAGAUGCUUGGUGAGUUCUUGUGCUUGGUGGAUAUCUGGAGCUUUCUCCGAUAUCGGUGUUUAGAUGUUUAGUCGGCUCUGAUCUAGGCUUAGUUGUGUCAGUCUAGAUUAUCUUUUACUUUGGUUUUUGUUAUGUUUGGAGAUUACCCGUUUGUUGGGAUUUUUGAGAUGCAUCUAUGUUGAUGUAAUUUAUUUAUUCUUAACAUGUAUAUUUGAAUU